AAAGUGCAGUAGGUCUGGAGUGUUUCUUGUGCCGUCAACCAGUAUGUUGGUUCACCAGUUGUAAUUGUAUCUAAUGAAAGUUUUCGUAUUGUAUAUUCUAAAAUUUUUCCUCGUGGUAAAUUUAUUUUGGAGCCCCAUAGGUUAUGCUUAGCAUUAUAAUCGCCGUCAGCGAUAAAUUUGUUCCCCAAUGAAUUAAAAAAACUUUCAUAUUGUUACACAGAUAUUUUUUUAUUUGAAGGACUGUAGAUAGCUGAUAUUGUAAUAUUUCCUUGAGCAGUGUUUAUAUUUACGGUGAUAGCUUGUACGUGUAUAUCGGCGAUCAGGCAUUGACCAAAGUAUUUAAUAUCCUGUUUAAUGAUUAUCAUCGCUGAUCCGCCGCGUGCACUGCCGGGGAACACUUGUACCCUUUUGUUAGGGUGGGAGCCGUGCAAUAAACCAGCGAUUUAAUAACCCACGGAGAACUUAGACCGUCAAAAGGUUCGAGCGCGGAACUGCAGCUGCCGGCGUGUUGGUUUAAAAAUUGCAGUUCCAGCCAGGCUGACACGUGGGGGCCUUUUUUACGACUGAUUUGAUGUUGUGGCAGCCGCGGCGCGCGCUGUGACGGACAGAACCGUUCGCCGUUACGGACGGUUUAAAAGCAGCAGUAAAAGGACCUUCGGUGUGCCCGUGCGCUGCAUCGCGGUCGCCGCGCAUAGGACAAGCGGAUACGAUAUGGAUCUGCGGUUCAGGGUGAGCCGUGUUGUAUCGUCCGCAGGUUACACGCGUGUACUCUACCUACUCGGUGUUCACCUAACAAGUCAUGGGCAGUAUCUCUCAUGUAACCGAACUUACAACUGGAAGAAGUUAAAUCGAUACCUGCUGUGAUCUCAGUAAAACAACUUGUAAAAGUUUUCUCGGCUCAUCCUGUAUAAUAUUCCCAC